UACGUAGGGGGCGAGCGUUAUCCGGAGUUACUGGGCGUAAAGCGCACGCAGGCGGUCGGGCAAGUUUGGGGUGACAGCUCCCGGCUCAACUGGGAGAGCGCCUUGAAGACUGCGCGACUUGAGGGCCACAGAGGGACACGGAAUUCCGGGUGGAGCGGUGAAAUGCGUAGAUAUCCGGAGGAACACCAAAGGCGAAGGCAGUGUCCUGGGUGGUACCUGACGCUCAGGUGCGAAAGCUAGGGGAGCGAACGGG
rnacentral:rRNA from 1 species